UUACAUAUUGCUGUAGCAAGUGCCGAUGAGAAUCGGGUGAAAGGGAAUCAGGUGCAAAACCUGAACGGUCCGGCCACUGUAAGCAAGGAGCACUGUCUUGAAAAACCAUUGCAUACCCAUUUUUGUGAGAAGGUAAGACAGCGUGAAGAUAGGCGAGUCAGGAAACCUGCUUGAUACAUGAGAUGAGC
rnacentral:ncRNA from 2 species